ensembl:lncRNA novel transcript, antisense to EPHB1
AUGGGGGGGAGGAGCCAAGAUGGCCGAAUAGGAACAGCUCCUGUCUACAGCUCCCAGCUUGAGCCACGCAGAAGAUGGGUGAUUUCUGCAUUUCCAUCUGAGGUACCAGGCUACACCCUGCAAGGUCAUUAUCAUUAGCUGCACUUUACAGGAGAGGAAGCUGAGGCUCAGAGAAGCAAACUGCCCUCCUACUUAUGUUGAAGACUUUCCCAUCCUAUGAGCCCAGGUGGGAGAAGCUGAAAAUGGCAGAAGGUCACUUUUCCAGCUGCCCUGUGCCUGGUGAGCCUGUGACACAGACCCCGUUGCUCACAUAUCCACCCAGUUUGGUGCCAUAGGUGGUAGCACUUCAGGGCCAAGGAGUUUGAAGAAGUCCAAGGUAGAGCUUUCUGGAAAAUCCUCUGGAGAGGUUGAUCAGAAACCUUCUCCCACAUAAACAAAGGACCCAGGAAGAAGCUAAAAAUGGGCCAUGAGAUUGUCUUUAUUCAUCAAGCCUGAAGUUUUCUGACUCUAUCUUUCUUUUCCCGUGGCCACUGUUACCUCUCCAGAACAGACCCCAUCACCUGAAUUCUGCCUGAGCCUCGACAGAUAUGCUCAGCUGCUCUCCCAUGCUGGCUGUUGUUACCCCAACCCACUUAAAAUUCCUUGAGGUCUUAGAAGCUCUCUCCCACCAAGGUGCCGAAAGAAGUAUUUCACAGGUUCUCAGUGACAAUUGUUUAUUGAAAUUUACACUGAUGAGAAGUGGUCCCUAUUAAGGGAAUUCAAUCCAAGGAGAUUGGCUCUAUACUUUGAACCGCUGUGGCCAAAUAAAUAGAUGACUGCUUGCUGCAAUUAUAUUGCUGUGGUCUUUGUAUAAAUAGAUUACCAAGAAUAGGACUCCACACAUCUAUCACCUUGGAAAGCUGAUUUGUAUAAUCUGGACAGGUGGCAAGGAAACGUAACUGUCUGCUCAAGGGAGAGCCUGCCUGGGGCAGAGGAAGAGAGUCUGAGUAGCAUCCCAGUUAAGUGCUCAAGCCCUGAGGUCAGGCUGCCUGCAUUUGAAUCCUGAUUCUGCCACCAAUUUUCUAAGUGGCAUGGCAAUGUUCUUAAACUUCCCUUUGUGUCAUAGUAAGCAACCGAAAAAUGGUGCUGAGGAUAGAGAACUCCAAAAAUAGAAAUUAUUGCUAGAAGGUUCCCUUGCAGUGGAUAUCGGGGAUUCAAUCUGUUAGUAUCCAGAAACUAGUUUUUCUGUUACUUUUGUGAAACCACUCAAGAUCUCUGUUUAACAAGCCUCCCAAAGAUCUUUUUUCAAUAUGUUUAUAUGUCUUGGGGAUUACAGCACUUGUGGGUUUCAGCAGAACUCUUUUUGCAGAGGUCUGGUGGUGUAGGAAAAGGGCUGUAGACUAGGAUCUGGGAGACAGACAUGUCUAUGUUGAGACCUGCCUCUGGAGCACUGGCCACCCUCUCCAAGCUGCUGCAGUUCUCUGAGAUCCAACUGUCUCCCCUGUUACAUAAUCACCACAGUUAAAAUAUCAAAGUUUAUAUCAACCCCAAAAGUUACCUCCUGCUUCUUUGUAAUCUUUGCCUCCAUCCACCCUUAUUCCUAGGCAACCACUGAUCUGUUUUAUGUCAAUACAGAUCAUUUUGCAUUCUCUCUAAUUUCAUAUACAUUGCAUCAUACUUUAUGCACUCUUUUAUCUGGAUACUUUCACUUAACAUAAUUAUUUUCACAUGCAUUCAUGUUGUUGUGUGCAACAACAGUUUAUUAGUUUUCAUUGCUGAAUAGUAUUCCAUUGUGUGGAUAUACCACAUUUGUUUAGCCACUCAUCUGUGAAUAGACAUUCGGGUUGUUUCCAGUUACUUGGUUAUUUCAAAUAAAGCUGCUUUGAACA